AGCGAACGCUGGCGGCAGGCCUAACACAUGCAAGUCGAACGAAGUCUUCGGACUUAGUGGCGGACGGGUGAGUAACACGUGGGAACGUGCCUUUAGGUUCGGAAUAACUCAGGGAAACUUGUGCUAAUACCGAAUGUGCCCUUCGGGGAAAGAUUUAUCGCCUUUAGAGCGGCCCGCGUCUGAUUAGCUAGUUGGUGGGGUAAUGGCCCACCAAGGCUACGAUCAGUAGCUGGUCUGAGAGGAUGACCAGCCACAUUGGGACUGAGACACGGCCCAAACUCCUACGGGAGGCGGCAGUGGGGAAUCUUGCGCAAUGGGCGAAAGCCUGACGCAGCCAUGCCGCGUGGAUGAUGAAGGUCUUAGGAUUGUAAAAUCCUUUCACCGGUGAAGAUAAUGACUGUAGCCGGAGAAGAAGCCCCGGCUAACUUCGUGCCAGCCGCCGCUGUAAAAC
rnacentral:rRNA from 1 species